UACCAGCUCUCCGAGUGGUAGGGAUGAUUAUUGGGCUUAAAGCGUCCGUAGCCGGCUUAGCAAGUCUCCUGUUAAAUUCAGCGACCUAAUCGUUGAGCCGCGGGAGAUACUACUAGGCUAGGAGGCGGGAGAGGUCGACGGUACUUUCGGGGUAGGGGUGAAAUCCUAUAAUCCCGGGAGGACCACCAGUGGCGAAGGCUGUCGACUAGAACGCGCUCGGACGGUGAGGGACGAAAGCUGGGGGGAGCGAACCGGAUUAGAUACCCGGGUAGUCCCAGCUGUAAACGAUGCGGGCUAGGUGGUUGGGGUGGCUACGGGCCACUUCAGUGCCGCAGGAAAGCCAUUAAGCCCGCCGCCUGGGGAUACGGCCGCAAGGCUGAAACUUAAAGGAUUGGCGGGGGAGCACCACAAGGCGUGAAGCUUGCGGUUC
rnacentral:rRNA from 1 species